rnacentral:rRNA from 1 species
ACUCCUACGGGAGGCAGCAGUAAGGAAUAUUGGUCAAUGGGCGCAAGCCUGAACCAGCCAUGCCGCGUGCAGGAAGACGGCCCUCCGGGUUGUAAACUGCUUUUGUACGGGAAUAAACCUCGCUACGUGUAGUGAGCUGAAUGUACCGUAAGAAUAAGGAUCGGCUAACUCCGUGCCAGCAGCCGCGGUAAUACGGAGGAUCUAAGCGUUAUCCGGAUUUAUUGGGUUUAAAGGGUGCGUAGGCGGCCUGUUAAGUCAGGGGUGAAAGACGGUGGCUCAACCAUCGCAGUGCCCUUGAUACUGAUGGGCUUGAAUGGACUAGAGGUAGGCGGAAUGUGACAAGUAGCGGUGAAAUGCAUAGAUAUGUCACAGAACACCGAUUGCGAAGGCAGCUUACUAUGGUUUUAUUGACGCUGAGGCACGAAAGCGUGGGGAUCGAGCAGGAUUAGAUACCCUGGUAGUC